UACGGGGGGGGGCAAGCGUUGUUCGGAAUUACUGGGCGUAAAGGGCUCGUAGGCGGCCAACUAAGUCAUACGUGAAAUCCCCCGGCUUAACCGGGGAACUGCGUCUGAUACUGGAUGGCUUGAGUUCGGGAGAGGGAUGCGGAAUUCCAGGUGUAGCGGUGAAAUGCGUAGAUAUCUGGAGGAACACCGGUGGCGAAGGCGGCAUCCUGGACCGAUACUGACGCUGAGGCGCGAAAGCCAGGGGAGCAAACGGG
rnacentral:rRNA from 1 species